UACGUAGGUGGCAAGCGAUACUCGGAAUCACUAGGCGUAAAGCGCAGGUAGGCGGUUUGAUAAGUCUGUUGUGAAAGCUCCCGGCUUAACUGGGAGAGGUCAACGGAAACUGUCAGGCUAGAGUGUGGUAGAGGUAGCUGGAAUUCCUGGUGUAGCAGUGAAAUGCGUAGAUAUCAGGAGGAAUACCGAUGGCGAAGGCAGGUCUCUGGGCUGACACUGACGCUCAUGCACGAAAGCGUGGGGAGCAAACAGG
rnacentral:rRNA from 1 species